rnacentral:rRNA from 1 species
CAUGCAAGUCGAGCGGAAACGAUCCUAGCUUGCUAGGAGGCGUCGAGCGGCGGACGGGUGAGUAAUGCAUAGGAAUCUGCCCGGUAGUGGGGGAUAACCUGAGGAAACUCAGGCUAAUACCGCAUACGUCCUACGGGAGAAAGCAGGGGCUCUUCGGACCUUGCGCUAUCGGAUGAGCUUAUGUCGGAUUAGCUGGUUGGUGAGGUAACGGCUCACCAAGGCGACGAUCCGUAGCUGGUCUGAGAGGAUGAUCAGCCACAUCGGGACUGAGACACGGCCCGAACUCCUACGGGAGGCAGCAGUGGGGAAUAUUGGACAAUGGGGGCAACCCUGAUCCAGCCAUGCCGCGUGUGUGAAGAAGGCCCUCGGGUUGUAAAGCACUUUCAGCGA